rnacentral:rRNA from 1 species
GCUUGCUACCUGACCUAGCGGCGGACGGGUGAGUAAUGCUUAGGAAUCUGCCUAUUAGUGGGGGACAACAUUCCGAAAGGAAUGCUAAUACCGCAUACGCCCUACGGGGGAAAGCAGGGGAUCUUCGGACCUUGCGCUAAUAGAUGAGCCUAAGUCAGAUUAGCUAGUUGGUGGGGUAAAGGCCUACCAAGGCGACGAUCUGUAGCGGGUCUGAGAGGAUGAUCCGCCACACUGGGACUGAGACACGGCCCAGACUCCUACGGGAGGCAGCAGUGGGGAAUAUUGGACAAUGGGCGAAAGCCUGAUCCAGCCAUGCCGCGUGUGUGAAGAAGGCCUUUUGGUUGUAAAGCACUUUAAGCGAGGAGGAGGCUACUUGGAUUAAUACUCUAGGAUAGUGGACGUUACUCGCAGAAUAAGCACCGGCUAACUCUGUGCCAGCAGCCGCGGUAAUACAGAGGGUGCGAGCGUUAAUCGGAUUUACUGGGCGUAAAGCGUGCGUAGGCGGCUUUUUAAGUCGGAUGUGAAAUCCCUGAGCUUAACUUAGGAAUUGCAUUAGAUACUGGGAAGCUAGAGUAUGGGAGAGGAUGGUAGAAUUCCAGGUGUAGCGGUGAAAUGCGUAGAGAUCUGGAGGAAUACCGAUGGCGAAGGCAGCCAUCUGGCCUAAUACUGACGCUGAGGUACGAAAGCAUGGGGAGCAAACAGGAUUAGAUACCCUGGUAGUCCAUGCCGUAAACGAUGUCUACUAGCCGUUGGGGCCUUUGAGGCUUUAGUGGCGCAGCUAACGCGAUAAGUAGACCGCCUGGGGAGUACGGUCGCAAGACUAAAACUCAAAUGAAUUGACGGGGGCCCGCACAAGCGGUGGAGCAUGUGGUUUAAUUCGAUGCAACGCGAAGAACCUUACCUGGUCUUGACAUAGUAAGAACUUUCCAGAGAUGGAUUGGUGCCUUCGGGAACUUACAUACAGGUGCUGCAUGGCUGUCGUCAGCUCGUGUCGUGAGAUGUUGGGUUAAGUCCCGCAACGAGCGCAACCCUUUUCCUUAUUUGCCAGCGGGUUAAGCCGGGAACUUUAAGGAUACUGCCAGUGACAAACUGGAGGAAGGCGGGGACGACGUCAAGUCAUCAUGGCCCUUACGACCAGGGCUACACACGUGCUACAAUGGUCGGUACAAAGGGUUGCUACCUAGCGAUAGGAUGCUAAUCUCAAAAAGCCGAUCGUAGUACGGAUUGGAGUCUGCAACUCGAC